rnacentral:rRNA from 1 species
UACGGGGGGGGAGCAAGCGUUGUUCGGAUUUACUGGGCGUAAAGGGCGCGUAGGCGGUCAGCACAAGUCAGUUGUGAAAUCUCCGGGCUUAACUCGGAAAGGUCAACUGAUACUGUGCGACUAGAGUGCGGAAGGGGCAACUGGAAUUCUCGGUGUAGCGGUGAAAAUGCGUAGAUAUCGAGAGGAACACCUGCGGCGAAGGCGGGUUGCUGGGCCGACACUGACGCUGAUGCGCGAAAGCCAGGGGAGCGAACGGG